rnacentral:rRNA from 1 species
CAGUCGCCGCGGGAAUACGUAGGGUGCGAGCGUUAAUCGGAACUACUGGGCGUAAAGCGUGCGCAGGCGGUUUUGUAAGACAGGCGUGAAAUCCCCGGGCUCAACCUGGGAAUGGCGCUUGUGACUGCAAAGCUAGAGUGCGGCAGAGGGGGAUGGAAUUCCGCGUGUAGCAGUGAAAUGCGUAGAUAUGCGGAGGAACACCGAUGGCGAAGGCAAUCCCCUGGGCCUGCACUGACGCUCAUGCACGAAAGCGUGGGGAGCAAACAGGAUUAGAUACCCCCGUAGUCCCUGUCUCUUAUAC